AAUAAUCAAAAUACUUGUGGAUCACUCAGCAAGAGAAAAGUUUAAAGAUCCAGUAGCUACGUAGAAAUGCCUUGGGUUACUCAGCACAUGCUCACUAGACUGAUUAUACAUAAUCUGUUGUCUACUUUUGAAUUCAAAACAUCUAUAAAACAAAUGGAAUGAGAGCCUUGACAUUUUUGGGAAAAUGAUCAAACUUGGAAAGAUACCAUCUUCCCGUAGCACAGCUCCUUCCAAUCAAGUAUAAAGCUGACCCUAUGGUGAAGGAGAAUGCAUAGAGAGUUUGAGAAAUAAGAGAAAUCCCCACAAAUCCUACGAUUUCAAAAAGAUAGUGGGGGCAUAUCACGAGUCCAAACAAACCGCCUUUGGGAAUCUUAUAAUCCUUGUCACCCUUUGACCGAAUUUUAGAAAGAAGGUAGUGAUGAUAGAAAUUGCCAGAGAUCCCUAUUAGGAACAGCAGACAUCCAAGGUACUUCAAAUCAACUGAUGGCUCCGGAAACCCUUGCGUUAAGUAUUGAGCGUAUGUCACAGUUGCGGUAGACAGAAAAUAACUAAGAGAGAUGGCCAACACACUAUCAAGAAUCAUCCCUCCACUAUAGUUGUGAACAAACAGAACCUAUAUAUGAAAAAUGGAAGAACAUAUUUUCGAAUGAGAAGCAUCAGAAAAAUUAAUAAAAUUCUGAAUUUGAACCACACAGUAACUAUUGUUUGCAUGUAGUUGCUUAAACCUUCCCCCCUUGAAAUGUUCUUGUUUUCUAACUUACUUAUUUAUUUGAAUUAAAACACAUAAAAGUAAAUCUCUAUCAUGAAAAUGGUUAUAAAGGAAAAGCCCACCAGCUUAGCAGUUUACAUAUGCUCAGUAAGAGGUUUUAGAAUUUGAACAGUCAAGUGAUUAAACUUGUAGAAAUGCUCAGUAAGCAAAAUCACUAGUUGGUAUAACCAGAUAGUAAAUAGAUGGCAACUAGUUCCAAUUUGAAGAUCACUGAAGAAUACAUACUCAAGAAAUCAGAGAAAAGAUGAGGGUGGAGUUGUACCUCAAAAAUCCUUUUGAAAAAAUGAAUGGUUAGGGCUGAACAAAGCAAUAAGAUUCUGAUAUUCUCUUGAGGAUAAAGCACAAAUGAUGCGACACCAGCAAGAAAUGCCGGAAUAUAAGCUAUUAGCAUUAGGGGUGGGCGCGGUCCGGUUCGGUCCGGUUCUCACCUCAAACCGGAACCGAAACCGGUAUUAUUUAACCGGUCCGGUUCGGUCCGGUUUAGGCAAAAAAAAUUUCAAAAACCGGCUGGUUCGGUUCUAACCGGUUCUGACCGGUUCCGGUUUUGAACCGGAUUAUUAAUUUAUUAUUUUUUUAAUUUUAAAAAAAAAAAAAAAAAUUUUAACUUUUUUUAAUAAAAAAAUUAUAAUAAAUAACUUAUUUUUUUAGCUUAAAAAUGAACAAAUAAUCCAAUUCAUACAUUUAGAAAUUUUUUGAAGUUGAACUUGGAAAAUUAGUGAUUAUAAAAGUUAAAAAAUGGCAUUAGAUUUUAAAAUUUUGUAAAAAUAUAAAUAUAAAAUAUAUGACCGGUCCGGUUUGGUCCGGUCCGGUGCGGAGAGAUGUAAAACCAGAACCGGAACCGGUUGGAACCGGUUCGGUCCGGUUCCGGUCCGGUUUGUUGACUUUUUUGGUCAACCGGUUUUUUUUUCGGUUUUUUUUCACCGGUUCGGUUCGGUGUUCCGGUUUUCCGGUCCCGAUGCCCACCCCUAAUUAGCAUGCCUGUUCUACUAGAUAGUUUAAUUUUCUCUGCAGCAGAGGUUUUAGAACCGAAUUCCAGAACUUCGAAUAGUGUAAGUGCUUUCCCCUUAGCUCUGAAAGCCCAAGACUAGCUAAUGAUGUGAAGCUAAUCACUGACAUUGCUGUGACGAAAAGAGAAGGAGGUGGUGGGAAAAUAUAUGUCAACAUUGUGGUGACAACCAUGUAACUAGCCUUUGAUUUCUCUCCCUAGAUUUCUGUAACGAACACAGACAAAUACGCUGUUAGGAAAUAUAAAUGCCAGCAGAUAAACACUUUCCUCUCCUUUUGUGAAUUAAAAUUUGGGCUUAUAGAAAAUCAAUAACUGAUGAAUAAGCUGACAAAAUAGUAAAUUCUUUAUGAAGGUAUGAGAUUUAUCAAUUCUCAUCACAUCUACAAUAUUAGAAUUAGAAGAAGAAAACAAAUUUCUUUAUGAAGGUAUGCCAGCCGAUAAAAACAUUGUAAGAAGUACCAUGUAAAGUAGGACACUCCUAAGUCUAUUGUUGUUAUCACUUAUGAAGGAUGAGUAGCAAAAUAUUUGUGAGGAAGCAACCUCUACCAAAGAAAAAAAAAAAAAGAAAGAAGACAGAAGGCACAUCCUCUGAUUAAUACAAUAUUAUUAAUAAAAUUUCUAACACAACUAAACUCGAACAGAGAAGUAGAGUUUCACUGAAGCAACAGCUAAGCAUACCAACUUAGUUAUACUAACAUGCAUAAUUCAAGAUCCAUACACCAUCAAAGCAUGGAAAAAAACAGUAUGCGGUAAAUUUUAUUCCAUUUACACCAUAAUAUAAUUGAACUUGAUACCAAUUCUAAUUAAUGACCAAGACAACGCUACAACUCCACCUCCAAAUAUUCCCAACAACAAACCCAUCCACCAUUACAUUAUAUAUCCCUGCAUCAACCAACUGAAUACAACGUCCAAUUUCAAUACAAAUGUGCAAAAGAGUUCGUAACUUGGAAAGCAUACCUCCAAAGAUCUUCCAAACAGCAGCUCCCAACACAAUAAAUGAAAAGCCAAAACCUAGAAACCAAAAAGCAAGAAGAAACAUAUCAAAUACUUUUUUUUGCGGUUACAAAAAUAUAUCGGAAUUUACAGGAGAGCAGUUAUAACUAAAUAAGAGCUAUGCAUCAUGUAAUCUAUUACCAUAUAACUCCUUGAAAGGGUAGGCCGUAACCAUUGAAGUUUCUAAACUUUACACUUCAUUCAAUGUCUCGAUUAGUUUUCUUAUCUAAAAAUGAUUCAGUAGCAUUUCCACAUUUCCAUAUUUCCUCUAAAUUCUCCAGAUACACUACCUAAUCAUAUCAUAGUAUACCAAGAGUUCUUGAAUGAGAAUUCUAAAAGUUUUAUGUUAAAAGGUAAAUGGGAACAAAGAAAUAAAAAGGCAAGGGGGAGAGAGAGAGAGAGAGAGAGAGAGAGAGAGAGAGAGAGAGGCUACAGUUCAAAAUAUUACAGUUUACUCUUUUUUCACAUCAGUUUCUACAGGAGCUCCAAUAUUGAAAUCCGAUUCAGAACUGAACACUGAAUCCAAGACGUACAGAGAUCGAGCUUGAAACAAUGAAUAUUUAAAUAAAUCGAGAAAAAUAGUUAACGAUAUCAAUUUUUCUGAAUUUAAACGAAAAUAAUGUGCCGUAUAAAUCAAGAAUUGAAGACAAUGAGGCCUCUAACCACAUGAAUGCAGUAGGGAACAUGAUUCUAAACAAUAAGAAAACUCAUAAUCAACAUUGGGGGUUAGGGCUUUAGAGAAUCGCACCUUGGAACUGUCACUGAGCAUUCAACUUUGAAGUAAUAGGGCUCGAGCAAUAAUAGUCUUCUAGCGAACAAGGAGCUGAGCUCUUGAAUGGUCCAGUGAGAGAGAAUCCUAAAAUUGUGAGAGAGGAAGAGGGAGAGCGAAAGCGAGAGAAGUGACUUCACAGAGUAUAUCCAAACACGCUUUCACAGAGUAUGAACAGCACGCUUUAUUAUCUUUUUAGGGUAUGCUUUGCCAUAUACAGUAAAUACCAGAUAUUAACAACAUGCAAAAACCACGUGUUGUAAAAGCUCCAAUUUGGUGUAGUGAAUCUUCCGUAAUUUUGUUUAAGUUUUUCCAGUACAAGAAUAAACCAUAGAAGGAAAAUUUAUAUAUGCAAACAUAAGAUGCUGAAAAUUUGAAAAAAUAAUCUGUUGCAAAAGAAAAGUUUGAUACAAGGUGCAAAACAACAUUCAAUAAAACUAAAUGGGUCCUAAAAGCUACAUUUUUUGUUAGAUCUCUCAAGCUAUAUUUGACAUCAUACUUAAAACUGAAGUUGGAAUUAGUACGGGGUCCGAGAAACUAAUUUAAGAGACUUAAACGAUUAGAAACAACCGAACGCAAGGAAACGUGUUGGAGUGUCCUACUAGGUCACCUAGUGAAAUAGCUUCCAAAUUCAACCUAAGUAACCUCCAACACCAUGAAGACUAACCACAGUCGACCACAAAGUCGGUUGCACUUCUAACUAUUUCGAUCCAACAAUUACUUUUUUCAAUACUCCUUAAUCAAUAUGACAGUUUCCAAGUGAUGUUGAUCUGGACUCUGGAAAGUAGCCCUUUAACUAGAAAAAUAGUUUCCUUAAAUAUGCCCGUACAGUUUUUGGGCUAGAACACUCAACUUUGGAAAUUCACUAAACAUUGAGUUUAAAUCGAAAUAGUGUAAAACUUUUUAGAUUUGAAGAAGAUGUUAGAUUUCUUUAAUAUGCAUGUUCAAGAUCUUUUACGCAAUCUGAAAUACGCAAAGACAUACCUAGAGCCAUCUUCUUUGAGUACACGACUUCUGAACUAAUUCAAUCACGGCAACAACAAUCCUAGCAAAACAGGAACGACUUAAGACUUCUGCUCUCUCUCAGAAUAUGUUUCAGCUCUCUUUGUAUGAUGAGAAUAUAUAGGGUUAGAGAACGUGUUUGAUGAGAGCAGGGCCUUAAGCUUAUAUCGGGCUAGGUCAAGUCAUCUCUACUCAUCACCGAUAACCGACUUGACUAAUCUUCCAAGCCCACCAAAUCGGUUCACAUAAAAAAGGAAAUAAAUAGGACCCCUUAAUAGGCCUCAAAACCUUUCCUUAUUCCAUAAGGUUUUGGGCCUCAAGGUAUAGCUUAAUUUAAAACAAGGAAUGUGCCAUAUAGUCAAAUAUUCAUACCUAUGCAGAGUAUCCUCAAUGCACAUGCUCAAGAAACCUCAACUUGGAAAUAAAUCCACACAUAUACCCACACAAAAUACCCAUAUACAUAUAUGUAUAUAAAUAUAAAUAUACACACACCCAAAAUCAACACAUCAUCAUGAUGUAUCGGGGGAAAACAAAACAACACAGAGACCGUUUUUACUAGACCAUAUGGCGGAAUCCUCAAUACACAUGUGACUAGGGACGAGCUGUCAAACAGGGGCGGCUGAAAUAAGUCUUACGUGCAGACACCCCUGUUAAUGGCUCUACGAUACACCCCGCCAAGGGGAGGUAUAUAUAAUGGUGCAAUCCAUAAUUCAAAAUUCCAAAAAUAUAUUUCCAAAUAACAUAAAUAUAUAUAAUAAAAUAGCACCCAUAAUUCCUUUAUGAAAACCAUUAAAAAAAAUCAUAAUCAAUAAAAAAACCAAAUCUAAAAUAAACCCAUUUGAUUUCAAUAAUAUCCAAAAUACUAUAUUCAUAUACUCGGGAAAUAUAAUAACCUCCGAAAAUCCCAUAAGACAAAGAUAAAAAAAUCCAAUACACCAUAUUUAAAAUUCCAAAACCAUAGCCCAACAAAAUAUAUAUAUAUAUAUAUAUAUAUAUAUACCAAUUCCAAAAAUCUCAAAGAUAUUGAUAAUCAAAUCCAACAGCCACAUAAACUAAUACACCAAAAUUCAAAAUCCAUAACAUACCCAAAGUCACCAUAGUCCUUUAUAAAUAAUAGUAAGCAUUCCUGAAAUUCCCAUAACCUUAUUAAACCAAAUUAAUGAAUUUCCAAUCUAAUCACAGUUAUCCAAGCAAUUCCAUAUUUAAAAACAAUGCUCAUUUAAAACAUUGUGCAUUCACAACAAAUCUAGUGCUGCUCAACUUAUUCAAGAGAGUAAACAAAUUUAAUUAAUAAUCGAACCCAACAAUGAACUUUAACUCAACACCUGAGUUCUCGGGUCUCAAAGUGUGUUCACGAGUUUUAAAGUUUUCUUGAGUCAUCCUAGUACUUUUUGAAGAAUGAGAUAGCCUCGGAAGACUCGGGAUCAACUGAGUGGUCAAAAUUUACAUAUAGAUCAACAAGGCCCGAGGGGCCACCACCUCUGAUUUCCAAUCCGAAAGUUCCUAAAGGUCCAACAAAGUCUACUAAACAUGUCCCGAAGGUUUUGUCUCAAUCGAACGGUUGGAUCCAAGCCAAUCGCACUAUCAAACGACGAUCGAUUUGCCUAACCUUAUAAUCAUUGAUUCGGAGUAUGCGAGGCUCCGAUUCUCAAUCCGCAAGUUCCUAUACGAUCCUAGAGGUACAUGAAAAAACAUAUUUGAAAUUGGAAACAAUCGAACGGUCUGAACCUAUCGAACUUGGAUAUUGCAUAAUAAGUGCUAUAUCCGAUCGAUAGUCAAAUGGUAACCAAAGGCUAAUCCGAGCAUACCUUCGGGCUCGGGACGACGUAAGGAGCAUUUUAGAACUCAAUAGGCCACCGCAAAGGGGCCCAUGUGCCGCCACGUAUGGCAGAAUCCUUAAUACACGUGAGGAUGAAAUAAGUCUUACGUGUAGACAUCCCCGUCAACAGCUCUACGGUACACCCGGCCAAGGGGAGGUAUAUAUAAUGGUGCAAUCCAUAAUUCAAAUUUCCAAAAAUAUAUUUCCAAAAAACAUAAAUAUAUAUAAUAAAAUAGCACCCAUAAUUCUUUUAUUAAAACCAUUAAAAAAAAUCAUAAUCAAUAAAAAAACCAAAACUAAAAUAAACCCAUUUGAUUUCAAUAAUAUGCAAACUACUAUAUUCAUAUACUCAGGAAAUACAACAACCUCCGAAAAUCCCAUAAGGCAAAGAUAAAAAAUCAAAUACACCAUAUUUAAAAUUCCAAAACCUUAGCCCAUCAAUAUAUAUAUAUAUACCAAUUCCGAAAAUCUCAAAGAUAUUGAUAAUCAAAUCCAAUAAGCACAUAAACUAAUACACCAAAAUCCAAAAUCCAUAACAUACCCAAAGUCACCAUAGUCCUUUAAAAAUAAUAUUAAUAAUUGUAAGCAUUCCUUUCCCUUUUGGAAGUUGGUUUACAGCCCCAAAACCCUAGGUGGAAAGUCAGAUUCCUUUUCCUUCUCUCUCCUAGCAACUUUUUCUCUCUCUUCUCUCUCUCUCGCGUGAAUAGUGACAGCGUCACUUUUUGGCAAGUUUUGACCAUUUUCCGGACACCAAACGGCCAAGGUCUCUUCAUGGAAGUUGUUCUACUUCCUCCCCUCUAAGUUUUUCGGGGAGAAAACUGGCGAUUUGAGGUUGUUAACAGUUGAAUUGGACUUCUACCCAAGGUAUAAAUUACUCCCCUUGUAGUUCUGGUUCUUUUGGUAUAUGUAUCAACUGGUGAUUUGGAGUUUUCCUAUGGUCGCAGAAUCACUUAAGACACCCAGCAUCAGCAACGGUGCAUGGCAAAGCGUGUACCGGUUGUCGAUGACUGGUUUUGGACCUAGUUUAAUUCCCUUGUCGUCCUGAGAAGCCAGGUAUGUCUUAUAUGUAUUUCAAAUUGUGUGGAAGAUCAUGGACAUUAGAAAUCUAACAAUUUAGCAACAUGUCAUGGUUACCCAAGCUAAAUAGUUUGUGGUUAGAGAACCCAUUCAAUUGGAAUUACAAUAAAAUUUGAUCAUUCUCUUUCAUCAAUGUUCAUAAUCUCGUUAUUAGGAUAUGGAAUUCAUGUCGUAUCCCUAGCAUGAUCGUUUUUGGUUAUCUGAUUUAAUUUGAGCAAAACUAGAAAUUCUUCUAUCUAUUGAGCUCUAAUUCCAGUCGAAGAUUCCCGGAAUCAUAUCUUAGAAUAUUCUCUUCCUUCAUUAGAAGUCGAGCUCCCUUGUUGUACACUCACAUGCCUCUAUAAACUUAUCGAAGACCCAGACGAUAUCUUAAGUUGAACCUAGGGUUGACCCCAACAAUAUAAUACAGUCAAAGAUUUACUAUCUCCUUGCCUUAGGGCCUAUCAACAUGAUUCUCCACCUCUCCAUCAUACCUCUAUUUCCCAAAACUUGCAGUAUAACCAUGAAUAUCACAUGAACUUCAAACCGCAUAAGAACUAUCCUAAUAAUAUUGGCACAUGCUUUAAUAUAUUUUUGGUGAAGCAUUAGUCUAGAUUUAGUGACCUUGUUGAAACCUCACCAUGACCUAUUGGUGAAAGCUUAUUUUAGAAGUUCAAUAAAUAUCUAAUGGCCUUUAAUUGAAACAUUGACUAAGCCUUAAUGGAACCCUGUAACCCAUAUACUUAGUCAAAGAUUAUUCUAUACUUGGUGAAACUAUUUUGGAUUUAGUUAGAGUUAUUCUAGGCGGUGAGGCUCUAGUGAAACAUUCUAAAACCUCAAUGGAAACUAGUGUAAGUCUUGCCUACAUACAUAGUGAAACAAUUCGAUGCAAUACUCAAAUCCAGAAAUAGAGGAUUAACUCGUAAGUGAUUUCGAGCUUCAUAUUUCAACAAAUAUGACAAUGCUACCAAUUUCGAGUUCAAACUCAAGAAUUUCGACCUCAACCCCAAAAAUUUGGAGCUUCUUGAAAGAGAAGAUUGAAAUAAUGUAGCCAAUUUCGAGUUUGCUCAUGGAUUUUAUUUUUGGGAAAUAGCGCUUAAUGCCACUGCUUUCCUAAUUUUAUCUGGAAAUACCACCUUUCCCCACAAAUUUUGUAAAUAUCACCUAUAAAUACAUAUUUUUUGUCCACUUAUUGCACGCAUAACACUUUUUCUGAAAUUGUGUUUUCUCUCUCAACUCUCUCUUGGCUUUGUCUCCCUCUAUCACGUAGCUCUCACUCUCUCUUCGCUCUGUCUCUCUGUCGCUCAGCUCUCACUCUCUGUUCAUUCUUUCUCUGUCGCGCCCUGCUCUCGAUCUCUCUUGCACAGCUCUCUCUCUCUCUCUCUCUCUCUCUCUCUCUCUCUCUCUCUCUCUCUAACACAGUGCUCUUACUCUCCCCUUGCUCUCACUCUCUCUUCCCUCUGUCUCUCUGUCGCUCAGCUCUCACUCUCUGUUCGUUCUUUCUCUGUCGCGCCCUGCUCUCGAUCUCUCUUGCACAGCUCUCUCUCUCUCUCUCUCUCUCUCGUGCAGCUUUCUCUCUCUCUCUCUCUCUCUCUCUCUCUCUCUCUAACACUGUGCUCUUACUCUCCCAGUGGUGUCUGUUCAUCGAAGCUCAACUUCAUCUUUCAUCUCCAAUAGGUACUAUUCAUCAUCAUUUUCUUAGGGUUUAGGGGUUUCUCUGAAGUUGGUUUAGGGUUUAUGGUUUCUAUGAAAUUGGUUUAGGGGUUUCUUCGAAAUUGGUUUAGGGUUUAGGGGUUUCUCUGAAACCAGUUUAAACUUUAAAGGUUUCUUUGAAAUUGGUUUGGGGUUUAGGGGUUUGUCUGAAAUUGUAUGAUUCUGAUGAUUCCUUGUUUGAUACAGUGAAUGGGUUUGUUCUUUGUGGAUUGAUUCUUGCAUUUGAUUUGGGAUUCGCUUGAUUGCUACUGUUGCAUUGCUAUUGUAUUGUCAUUGUUGUGCUGUUGUAUUGCUAGUUUAUUAUGGUUUUAUUGCCGUUCCAUUGUGGUUUUAAUGGUUUUGGCGAUUUGUGCAAUUGGAUUCUGUGUUUCUUUGUUAUUUUCUUUCAUCCAAAGAAGAAAAAUUAUAGGUGUUCAUUUAUAGUCUCUACAUUAGCCACAUGAAUCUUUAUAGUUUGUUUUGCAGUUGUAGUAGCUUUUUGAUGUCUGUAGUUUGUACAUAUAUAACCAUUUAUUCUGUUAUAUAGGCAGAGUCCAUAAUUUUCUUUUGAUGUUCUAUUUGUAUUGUAUUUCAUUUGUUCUCUUUUUAUGACAUACAUGUAUAUCAAUAUGGUGAUGAGUAGAUUUUAGGAAGCAUUGAUGCAGUUGGGCUAGUUCUUUUAGCUUUUUCUCUCAAACCGUGUAUGAAGUUGAUCCUUGGGUCAUCAAAUCACUUUGACAGUUGGGUGGUAUUUGGUUUGUGGAUGGAAAUGUGAUCCAGAUUUUGUAAAAUGGAAUGUAGAUAAGAGUGGAGCAUGGAGAGAGUUUAAGAGUAGAUAAGAAACUAAAAUGGGGUAAAAAGUGCAAUUGGUAUUAUUUCACAUUUCGGGGGAUUGACAGUGCUUGGUUUAUUGGAUUAAACUGUGGAAUGAUAGUAAUGUUAAGUGAUGUAUCAAAUGGGAUUUGUGGCAUUUUUUAGCAAGCCUUGUGGAGAGAAAAUAUAAGAGAAGGAAAUGGAAAAAUAUAAGAGCAAGCCUUGUGGAGAGAAAAUAUAAUAGAAGGAAGUGGGAAAAAUAUCAGAGCAAGCCUUGUGGAGAGAAAAUAUAAGUCUUGAUCUGCUUAUAUAUUGUGUGUUUAUUGCUUUGUUAUUGUGUAUAUUUCAAUGGCUUGAAAUUAUUUGUAUAAUGUUGGUGUACAGGGAAAUAUGAUUUCUAAAGUAAAGCUGAUGACUGAUGAGGAUCAAAAGUUUCAAGAAAAGGCGUUGUCCCUUUCCCAUACAAAGACUGCCAUUAAUACAAUUAAGGAGAAAUUGAGUCCGCAAUAGUUACAAAGGUUCCAGGACAGUUGUUUUGGUCAUCUAUUACUGAUUGAGGACCUUAAGUGGACUGCACAAAUUGUCUACGAGUUGUUGUUGAGGAAGGUCGAUCCGAAGACAGUUUCCCAAGUGAACGGGAUAAAAUUCAUUGUUGGUAAUAAGAUGAUACAAUUCACGACGUAGCAAUUUUGAGCCAUCAUGGGGCUAAGGUUCGAAAACCUUCCUUUCAUUCCAAUUGUGACUAAUGAAAACUACUCUUUGAAAAAGAAAUAUGUUUGCAACAAUAAAACUGUGACCCUUUCCAAACUAGAAAAAGCCUUCAUCGACUGCGCUGAUGAGGAGGAUGUCGAGAAGCUUGGAUUUCUAUAUUUUGCUAUUUUUGUGCUGUUGGGUAGUGAAAACAUGUCAACAUUGACAUGCGUUAUUUGAAAUUGUCGGAAGACCUUGAAGAGUUUCAGAAGUAUCCAUGAGGCGUUGUUUCAUAUGCAAAGACAAAUGCCUCACUUUUGAGGGCACUUUGUGCAGAUUACCAUCGAGUAAAAGUUGCCCCAAAAAACUAUAAAAACAAAAAAAAUCUGAAAAGAAAUCAAAGACAACAUCAAGUAGUAGGCUAAGAAAGUACCACAUAAAAGGUUUUGGCUUUACACUUCAGCUGAGCAAAUAUCCAUAAAUGUAUAAGUUCGAUUUAAUUUGUUUACAGUGACUGAUGUUUUAUUGUUCAAAAUAGAUUUGGGCUUCUGUGGUGUUUCCAACGUUGGCUACACUGCAUUUUGUUAUGCACGAAGAGAAUGGCCACAUCCCUCGUAUACUACAAUGGAGGAGCAAUACUUCGGCUCGUUUUCACGAGCUAAUGAGUCAAGUAUUCCAAAAUUGUGAGGUUAGUUUUGUUCGUAAUGAUUAUGUUAUGCAUAUGAAAAAAUAAUAAGUUUAAUGAUAUGUAUUUUGUAUGUGUAAAUUGGAGGUUGAUGUGCAACUUCUCCGCCCAACUCUAAUUGACAAGUGUUUGGGCCAAAAUAAAUUUAAAAAAGCACCAGCCCAUCUUUGCAAAGAAAGGGCCAUAAAACAUAAAGGAAAAGAAAAAUGGGCUUCAAUUACCAGGUCAAGAAAGAGCCCAAUCCAAGUCAGAGAUCCACAUCUUUUUCGAAAAAGACAGAAUUGUAAAAAACACCAAAUUAAAUGGCCGUUACAAACUAAGCAGAUCGAUAAAAGAAAAAUUGAAAUGGGCCCAGUCUACAAAAACCUACCAUUUCUCUCAAAAAGCCCAGGAAUAAAUUGGCAAAUUUUUCUGGGGAACCUGUUCUCAAGGAAGCCCACGUGACUGCCUGGAAAGACUUUAGAAAAUCAACAUUUUCAAUUGAGUUGAUAAGAGGUUAAAUAGGGGCAUGUUUGAAAAAGACAUCUCUAAAAAAUCUCUGCCUCCAGAAGAUCAAAAUCCCUUUUAUAUGCUCAGAGAAAAUUCUGCUCCAAGGAAAGGCACCAUUUUCAAGAGAUAAGCAGACUGUGUUUUGACAUAAGUAGAAAGCAGAGAGUUGUUCAGACGGAAAAUCAAACUAACCAUCAUAGUUUGAGCUCUUACAAAGCAGUUGGAAUUAAAGAAGAAGGGUCAGGUUUUCUUUCAGAAAAUACAGGGAAAUGACUGCCUUAGGAACUGACUAUGGAGGGCUUAUCUGCCAGAAUUGAUAAAAACCCUUUUCUUUGCAUUUUUAAAAAUAAAAGAUCCUUUUAAGAAAAUCUGCCGCCCAUUUUUAAAAGGAUUGGAAAUCAAUCAAACAACCAAUCAAUCAAACAACCAAAAAAUCAGUCAAAAGACAAAAACUCAAAAUGAUCACUUGAUCUCAAAGAACCUUCAAAUAAACUGAACCAACCAAAAGCUCGUUAAGCUACAAGAAAGAAGUCAGCUACAAAUCGAAACUUCCAAUUUCAGACUUAGAAUAAGUCAUUCAAAACGAGAUUUCUCUCGUUACAAAUUUGGUUUAGCAAAAGGCAAAACAAGCAGAGUUUGAGUUUUUACAAAUAUGAAAACCUCAACAAAUUUAUGGAAAGCCUUGACCAAGCAGAACAGGUACCACAGUGCAGUUCUAGCUCAGUAAUUCUCAAGUCCAGCCACUUCUGUCUUUUUCAGACUAUAGAGGCCGCAAUUCUACCCGUUCAAAAAUCUUUCUAGGGUUUGAAAUAUUAAAAUUUUGCCAAACUCGAACGUUGGUAUCGAUUUGCAACUGAAGCCUAGCAGUUAAAGUUGGGAACAAUCCAGUCCAGCACAUGCAUACCCAGUCCAGCCCGGAUCAGAAGCUUCUGUCCAGGCAGAAAUGGAAGUCCAGCCCCUUUUUUUGUCUUUCUAGAGUUGAUUUUUUAAUGUAGAGUUUUGUAAAAGUUAGUUCUGCCUGAAAACAGUUCAUUUUCUUACUAUUUAUUCUGGCCAGAACUACUGUACUGUGAAAAAUUAUGAAGUCCUCACCAGUCUGAGGUAGGAAAAGAACUUACUUGGGAGAUAUUCCGCACCCAAAUUCACAAUCGUUUAUUUAGGAAUCAGUAACUUGGGGCGCAAGUUAUUUAUUUUUAAGAAGUCUGCUAUAAUUUUUAUUACUAGCAAUGACACGCUUGCACACUAAAGAAAGUUGACUUGUUGACCACUCAACGGUUUUCAAGGCAAUGAGGAACUUUACCCUUCCAUCACAAGAGCAAACAUCAAGUGGGUGAACAAUUUGGCAUGCCCAGUGGGACUUCUCAGUAUACAUACUCCUUAAGAAAUUCUCUAAAGUAUAUGAAUAUUGGAAGUUCUAGCUAGAACCCACGCUGCGCAAUGGAAAGAGAUCAAGCAGUUCUCAGAAAAGGUUUGGAGUCAGAAGAAAGUGAUGCUAGGCAAUCAGCCCAUGGCAGUACCGGAAGUAAACGUUCCAAGGCUGGCUCCAGGAGGUUGAAUCAGAUAUAAGAAGCUACAGCAUAAAGGAGCCAGGAUACUCUGAACAACAUGACAGCCAUGAUGCAAUGGCAAGUUUACAGGUAGUUCAGGAAGGACUGCGAAGCUGCCAUGGCCAGAAUUCAAAACCCUAAUAUUGUGGUCCAGCAAUUAGACCUCCCUAGUGGACCUCCACCAGAACUGGCAUGGCCAUGACGUGGAGAGGUCCAAGCUGGACAGAGGGGAGGGGCCCUUCCCGUCCAAGACCAUGAGGUCUCAGUCAGGCCAGAAGGCCCUGCACCAGUUCACAGAAUCAGCCAGAGCCUCUACCUAUUCCACAACCUGUGGCCCCACGUGAUCAACCCUUGGCACUUCUGCCUGAGGCACAAGCUGUGUUGCCUUACAGACCCAGAAGGAUGGAUCCCAAUCCAUUCUCUUUGCCAGUAAGAGGCAGAAGAGGCAGAUGGAGAAUCAACCCCUUUGCCAACAAUGACAGGAAUAGGCCGGUGGCAAACUGGAGGAAUCAUCCAGAUUUGGAAGAAGAAGAAGAACACAGGGAGGAAGCUCUGCCCAGGCCAUACAGGAUAGAGCACAGGGUUGACCACAUCCAGCCAAAAUAGGGGAGAAAUCCGCACCCUGUCAAUGCUUUGAAUGACAUGGGGGCACUACAGAAAAUGAUCAGGAAGAUGAUGGAGCCUGAAGCCAGAAGAGGAGAAAGGCCCACCUACAGAAAGCCAUAUCCGGCUUACAUAGAUCAGAUAACUUUAUCUCUGGGUUUCAAGGUACAAAACUUCACCUUAUUUAACGGAGAGGAUCCUCAUGCUUCAUCAGUUGAGCAUAUAGGCAGGUUCUCUGUCCAGUGCAAAGCCAUAGAGAAUAACCUUCUAUUAAAACUGAGGCUUUUUGGAAACUCUCUCUCUGGACAAGCCUUCAUCUGGUAUACCAGUUUGCCAACUAAUUCUGUUCAAACCUGGGAACAAAUGGAAAGUGUUUUCCAUGACUACUAUUUCAGGAUCGAGUCGGAAGUCACCAUCAGUGAUCUUGCUGCCCUCAAAUAGAGUGAAGAUGAACAUGCCGUGGUCUUCAUAACUGGAUCCCUAUGAAAGAAAGGCACUUCUUCCAGAUGGCUCAAACCGCCCUUAAAAUCUCUCUGAGAAAAAUAUUUGACAGUAUGCUGUUUGGAGACCUGGUAGAACUGGCAGACAAAGCAUCUAAAUAUGAGGAACUACUCAAGGAAGAACAACAAAAGAUGAACUCUUCCAAAGGCACAUACUAUAAAACCCCUUCUUCUUCAAUCCAUCUGGUUGAUGUAGAAUAAGAAGAAGACACAAAAGGCUCUAAGGAAAGAGAAAUUGAAGUGGCAAAAAUGGCAAAAUUGAAACAUCCCAUCAGCUGCAAGGCUCUUACAAAGCCACGAAAGGACCAGAAGCCACCACCAUUCACAUGAGGGUUUGUUCCAAACAAACCAACCCAGAACAAGGUCCAUUCCUUCGAUCUGACCAAGGUUGAUGCUUUGUUUGAUGAGAUGCUGCUACAUAAGAAAAUAGAGACACCCCACAGGUUGCCCAAGCUAGAAGAACUCAAGGGCAGACAGUAUUACAGGUGACACAACUCUUGGAACCAUUCCACCAACAGUUGUGUUGUUUUCAGAGACGUCAUACAUGAUAGAAUAACAGCAGGAAGGCUAAAACUGGAGGGGAAACUUCCAUGAAUUACAACAGAUCCCUUUUCCCAGCCUCAAGUCAACGUGGUCAACUUAAACUGGCCAUAACAGAAAAGAGACAAACCAGCGACAGAAGCUAGCUCCAACAGAGACAGAAGAGUCACAAGGGAAGCUAAUCAAAGGCCAAAGGCAACUAUCUCGGCCAAAGUGUAAGUGUGAGUGUAAUGACCCGGUCCUAAACUAAUAAUUAAAUUCUAAAUUAUUAAAGAAAAAGACAAUGUUACCCCGGAAUAUUUUAAUAGGUUUACAUGUUGACUUGUUGACCGGGGAGACUUUGGUGAAAUUGUUACAUCCCGGCCCAAAAACAUGUUAAAAUAUUUAAAGUAAGAGAGAAUAAAUUUAAAAGAGGAAAUAAAUUGAAAUAAACAUUAAAAUAAAAUGAUUUGGAUUAAUUAAGCUUUUUGAGAAAUUAAAAUAUUAUUUACUAUUAGAAGGGGCAAAAAAGUCAUUUUAAGUUUGGAAAGGAAUUUGGAAAUUCUGAUUGUACCUUGUGUAGAGCACAUCGAAACGAGUCCGUAGACACAUAGUGGACUCGAAUUGGAGUUGUAACAGAGAUAUGACUAUCAAAAUAAGUUCAGUGGCAUAACCGUAAAUAUUUCAAAGUUCAAUUUUUUUUAAAACCCAGAUUUCUUCUCUAGGCAGUUUUGGACAAGCCAACUUCAAAGAGUAAUUUUUCCCAACUCCGGCCACCAAUUCAAGUAAGGCCGGUCCCGUUAGAACUACCAUACUUCCCUCUUCCAGUUCCAGCCCAUCGCAGCCUCGAUCCACCGUCGUGGUAGCCGGAAACAGCCACGAAACGGGGUGGUUUUGACAAUUUUUGACGGAAUUUCGUAGAGCUCUUUUGGACACCUCCGACCACCAUCCUUUCAAUGUGUUCUAGCUGAUAGUUGGGUAGGAUUUGAUCAAUUUCUAGCGUAGGCAACUCGAUUUGUAACCCAAAAUUUGGCCGGAUUUUGGAUGAGAUUCCGGCCACUUUCGGUAAUUUUUCGAGGUAGGUCGAAGAACAAAAGUGGUUUCAAAUAGGGUGUUAUACCUAGGAUAGGAGUUUGGGCUGGCGGUUUGGAGUAUUUUCGGCUAUCAAAAAUUGAUCAAGCCACCCACGCGCUGCCAGCGUGUGGGCUGCAUAGUGAGGUCACUCUCAGUCCUAGAAUGAUCCUCUUGUUGUCAUGAGCGCGUAGGAAUUUGUGUUGUCAUGAGCCCCGAUCGGAUCUCGUAUAUUGUGCAAUUUCCAGGUUUGAUACAUUUGAACCGUUGGAUUGUAGUUAUUCUCGUAUAUGUCAAUCUAGACAAUCCCGAAUCGUGUAGGAUUCAACGGAUCAGGAAUCGGAGUCCCGGAUACUCCGAAAAGGCCAACCUUAGUGCUAGGUUUGCAGUAACCGUCCGAUCGUGAAUCGUGAGUAGUCCGACCGUCCUAUCGAGACCAAACUCUCGAGACAUGUGUCCUAGGCAUGUUAAGACCUUUAGGAACUCUCACAUCAGAAUCUUGAGGUCGUGGACCCCACGGGAUCCCGGGUUGAUUUUUGGGACUUAUCGCUUUUUUAGUCCCGAGACACUUCUAGACCGUUCUAAUAAUUGGAAAUGCUUACAUAGGCUUGAGAAUGACUUCAAAUACAAUGCACACACAUCUAGGAGCGUAGGGCCAGGACUUUGGAUUAAAUAAUGAGGAUGAGCUCCAUGUGAUAUGUUUGAGCCUUUAGAAAGCUCAUGUGCGUGCGAAUGUUCACUUGGUUUAGUUGUAGUUCUAUUUUCAUGAUUUUAUGUGAUUUCGAGAUGAGUAUUUAAUUAUCUGUUUAUUUAUCACCUGUUUAUCUAUGUUCAUAUGGUUAAUUGUGUGGUAAGAGUAUAAAUAUAAUAUUGGAAUGGUAUGCUAAGCAGAGAUCGAGAUACUUAACAAACUAGCCAAGUAUUUGGUGUAUAUAUAUAUUCAGUAGUUGAAAAUGAUGAAUCUUAGCUUUUGGCUUUUAUCAAAUUGUGGUAUAUAUAUAUAUAUAUAUAUAUAUAUAUUCUUUUUUUAAGUUUAGUUGAGAACCAAUUUAUUGAAAGUUUAUAUAAAUGACGAGUUAUGGUUUUCAAACCCACCGCGAGGGUACCCCCCCAAGUUUCCUUGAGACAGUUUGUUAUUUUGAUGAUGCCCCACGAGUUUCGGGAAGCCUGAACCGUGUGGUGUGAGGAUUGCAGCUCAGAUUGAAGAGUUAUCUAUGAGACCUGCAAGGAAUGCUGCUCGGAUGGACUUGGUGUCUUCGGGACCUGCGAGGAUUGCGGCUCAGAUUGAAGUGUUAUCUCUGAGACCUGCGAGGAAUGCCGUUCGGUUAACUUUGUGUUUUCGAGGCCUGCGAGGAUGGAAUUGACGGAUUAUUAUUGGAGUUGACGGAUAUAUGGAAUUGACUGCAUAUAUGGAAUUGACGGUAUUAAGGAAUUGACGGAUCAGAAAUGGGGGUAUGCCUAGGUGGAGAGAAUUUAAGUUCUGAGAUGCUUUUAAACUAAAUUGAGGAUUUUAUACAGUUACCAUUAUUUUCUUAAGCGUCUCAUUUGUUUUACAAGCGAUAGAUGGAAAUAUAUAUAGAUUCUAAUCAAGUUAUUGAUAUAUAUAUUUAUGAAUUUUAUAUAGUAUUAAAUAUCUUGAGUUUUUUUAGCAUAUUUUGCCCUACGAGUCUUAGAGUUAUGCGAACCGUGGGAGCGAGGAUUGCGGACCAGGUUGACCAGAUGUCUCCUGAGUCCAGCGAGGAUUACAAGUCAGGACGUGUCACCAUUGUGUCACGAGGAAUUGAUGGUUAUGGCUUCCCAAGCAUGAUUACUUGAUAUAAAUGCUUUUAUUUCUUCGUUUAAUUAUAUAUUGCCAUGUGAGAAAUGCCAGGAAGCUUGAAAUAGAAAGUUGAGAUGAAAUUUGAGAACUAGAGUGGUUUUGCAAUUAAAGAACUACGUGUGUGGCUUGAUCCCUCAGUAAAGGUACGUAGGCAGCCUAUAGUUACAAGGUGCAACCACGAGUUAGAAUGUUUGAGAUUACCAACGCAGUAUUGUUGUUCUGAAAGUUGAGAUGAAUUUUAUUAGCAGAUUGAUUUGUUUGAUUUAUUGCGAUAUGAGACUAGAAUAUUAUGAUGCUUAAUUUGUUUGGAUAUAAUUGAAUGCAUGCUGAACAAUUGAGUUAUAUAAAUGUUUGAUGGCAGGUGGGAGAUUUUGGGAAAUGAUUAAAUUACAAGGGAAACUCUGCCGAAUUUUCGGCAGAAGAUAAUCUUAUUUUUAAAAGUGGAUUUUUAGUUAGAAGGGCAGUUUGGUCUUUGUGCCUGGCAUUAGCCAGGUGUCGGACACUCACAGGGUUCGGCUUGGAUUCUAAAGUGGAAUUUGGGUCAAGUCCUAUCAGUGAGAGUAAGUUAGAAGUAACUCUGGACAGGUAGAAACAGCCCACAUCCAGCAUUUUUGACAGAAUUGGAACAUCAUAUCAACAUAGCCCAGUUUUCGGCCUCAUCUAAGGACAGAGCCAGACAGAAGAACUAUAUAAGGCUUGCUCCAUGCAUCAGAAGAAUGACAGAGCAGCCGAAGAAGGAAAUACCAAUUAAGAUGCUUGGAAAAAGGUGGUAGACCAACUCUGGAGUUAACCAGAACUCAGAAGAGAAGAGUUCAAAGGCAAUACUGCACUUUUCUCAAGAACAGGGAUGACACACAGGUACUUCCAGGGACUAGUUCUGCCAGAAGAGGGAAGAAUCCAGAAGUAGCUCAUCAGGCAGAACAAACAACCUAUCAGCCACAAAAGCUAAUAAAGACAGAAUCUCCAGGCAGACCUUCCAUCCAUCCUGCCUCAUCCUCAGUCAAUCAGCUUGAACCUUCACAAAUACAAGGUGAAUCUGAACCUAUUCCAGUAGAAGGACAAGAGGACUGGACUGAAGAAUACGAAGAGGAGCAGUUGGACUAUGAACCAUCUGCAGAUGACCAGACUGGGAUCCUCGAAACAGAACAAAAGGACUAGACAGAAGAAUAUGGGGAAGAACAGAUGGAAUAUGAUGGAGAACUAGAUGAAGAAACUGAGGCUUUUGGUGCAGAAUUAGAAAGCCUGUUGCAGGGUGAUCUAGGCAUCAACAUGGUGUUCAUCUUUCCGGAAAGAUUCAGGGCAGCAGAAAGACAAGAAAACACUCUGGAAGGAGACAUUUUCUCCCAGGAAAGUUUUGAAUGCAGGUUGGCAGAGGUGGAAGAGGCGCCAGAACAGCAAACACCUACUGCCAAGACAGGCAAAACUGCCAUGAAACUGGCUGCAGAACAACUUUGCUUCUCCAACCCAACCAAGGAAAUGACUAAUCACCUCAGACCUCUGUUCAUAACAACAAACUUUGGGGGUAUUCCUAUUCCCAAAGUGAUGGUAGAUGGAGGUGCAACCAUUAAUCUUAUACCCCACAGAUUGCUGAGCAAGAUGGGCAGAACAGAGAAGGAUCUAAUUCCAACACGCUUAAUCGUCACCAACUUUGCUGGGGGCAUCACUAAGACUCAUGGAAUUCUAGAUGUGGACGUCAUAGUUAGAACUAAUGGGCUGAAGAUUGCAUUUUUUGUGGUAGACACCACUUCUACCACUUACAAUGCCUUGCUUGGCAGGGACUGGAUACACCAAAGUCUAUAUGUUUCUUCCACUCUGCAUCAGCAACUAGCCCUUUGGAAUGAAGAAGGUUUCAUGGGGAUAGUAGAGGCCGAUCCAUGACCAUUUCUGCCCUCUGCCAUGUGUUUUGAGGCAAGGUAUUAUGAUGAUGACCUUGGUCCUUUCACAUUCCUUAGAGUCAACUAGAACGGCCACCCUGUUGGUGUCACAGCCCAGAGACUCAUUGAAGAUGGUCUAGCCAGUUCUCUAGAGGACUGGAAUACACCUUUUAUUCUAAACCUCCAGGACUCUGAUAUUUAGUCUCAAUCAACAAGAAAAGGAUCGAGCUGCAACAAUUCGAUCCAUUACCAAAAGAUUGUUGAUAUAUUGGGAAGAAAGGAAGCUCUUUAUGCAGAAUCUAGUCAUCAAUAUGGCAGAAUUCACCCAUGAGAGCACAGAGGAAUAAGGAGAAGAGAGUUUACAGGAUGAAGUUUUAGAUUUCGCACCAGCAGCACUAGAUGAUUCUUUGGCAGAAGUGGAAGAUCCAUUACAGGAGAUAAAUUUAGGGACAGAAGAGGAUCCAAGACCCAUUUUAAUUAGUGCGCUGUUGAAAGAACCACUCAAAAGUGAAAUCAUUGCACUUUUGCAUGAUUUUAGAGACUGUUUUGCUUGGCAUUAUCAUGAGAUGCCUGGAUUAGACAGAAAACUGGUGGAACACAAGCUGCCAAUUGAAGAGAUAGAGGAGUUGGAAAAACGAAAUGGUGGGUUGAAUGAACAUGAUGAAGGACAUGAAGAAGUGGGCUGUCCUCAUAUCAAUGAAGGAGACGACAAUGACAUGUCACCCUUACAUGAAUAUAUUACUCCAACUAUAGAACCGGCCGAAAUGGAAGCACAAGUCCCUGGUCAUGAAGCUGAAGCCUUCACAGCCAUGCAAGUCCAAGAGGCAGAAAUGGGCACUUCAAUUCUUGACAAACAAGUGCGGCAAGAAGCUGAGAAGCUUCCUACUCCGGAAGAUGUGGACGGGUGCGGGGUAAUCUGCAAAAAACUGUUAUCUUUGUUAGAGGAUUGGAAAAAUAGCAACAUUAAGGCAUUGGGAGGUCAAAUGAAUCCUCCCAUCAUAACCAAUGUUAUUGCAGCUAGUGAUGAAGCGAUUAAGGAAUGUAGUGCCACUGUUGAAAAACAAGAUGUGGAAGGUAAAGGGUGCAGAAAGAAGCGGCCGGCUAGUACAUUGUUGAGUCCAUUUUCCGAUCCCUCGAGGAAAAAGAGGACGAUUACUGUUUCGGAUGCUGACGCAACCUAGCCAUGUUUUGAUCCAACAAAACCCGUGCCCAAUGACAAUGUCAAGGCAGUAAUAGAGUUUUUCACCGCUUGGGAAAACCGAUUCAAGGUUAGGAUUUUUAACCUUGGAAAUCCAAUAUUCAUGUUGUUGUAGUAUGCAAUGAUCCACCAAUAAGAAUACAUAGCUACCUUUAAUAUACAUGUCUGUGUUUGUACUAUCUUUGCCAUAUUAUACAAUGUUCUAAUUAUUGAAUGAUUACAAAAUCGACCCUUGGAAGUUUGCCUAUUGUAGUGCGGAGGUGCAGUUCAAAGCAUGUUCAGUUGGCCCAGACUUUUUUUACAAACUCAGAAUGGAUUAGCUCCAGGGUAAGAAUUUGAACCCUACUUCAUUAGGAUAAUUCAAUUCUUUUCUCACAUUCACUAUGUGUACAUUUGUAUUAAAUUGUGAUGGUAUUAUUUACUUGAACUUUCAGCACCUUGACAUGGCAAUGUUUCUAAUAUGGAAAAGACAACUUUCUCAUCAUUUGGUGUUUGGAACUGACUGGAUAACUCCAGAUUAUUGUUUGCAGGUAAAAAUGUGAACAUGUUAAAUUCACUGCUUCUGUUGCAUUGGUUCGUCAUUAUGUAAUGUGCCUUAAAAAUUGUUUGCAGUAAUUUUUAGAGCCGAUAAGACCACCUGCAAAGAAACGAGUAUCGAAGAAAGCAGCUGCCCCAAAAACCAUUGACCUUCCACCUAUCCACCUAAAAAAGAUACGUCACUUUGUGCACGAUACAUGGCAACAUGGGUAUGUGCAACCACAGAGCAGAGACUUACUGAGCAAGGUGAGAGGAUGAUUCCAGCACAAGUCUUUAACUUACGAGUGAUCUUCUUAGAGUCAUUAGAUUAGAUCCAACAAUAUCCUUGUAAUCAAGAAAUUAGUCUUGUAAUUUUGUGACUAAUUAUUUGACAUUUGUAAACUAAAUUCUGAAAAUUCUUUACUAGCCCCUAGUCACAGAUCAAUCUAAAUAUUGUUAAAAUAUCCACUGAGUACCAGACUACAUUAAAUGUAUAUUUGAUCAUUGUCGUACGAACCACAUUCAGAAAUAAGCAGAAUAAUCAAAAUACUUGUGGAUCACUCAGCGAGAGAAAAGUUUAAAGCGCCAGUAGCUAAUUAGAAAUGCCUUGGGUUACUCAGCACAUGCUCACUAGACUGAUUAUACAUAAUCUGCAGUAUACUUUUGAAUUAAAAACAUCUAUAAAACAAAUGGAAUGAGAGCCUUGACAUUUUUGGGAAAAUGAUCAAACUUGGAAAGAUACCAUCUUCUCGUAGCACAGCUCCUUCCAAUCAAGUAUAAAGCUGACCCUAUGGUGAAGGAGAAUGCAUACAGAGUUUG
rnacentral:lncRNA from 1 species